GUCUAUGGCCAUGCCUCCCUUAACCAGCCUGAUCCCGUCUGAUCUUGGAAACCAAGCAGGGUCAGGCCUGGUUAGUACUUGGAUGAGAGACCACUUAGGAAGACCAGGUGCUGUAGGUG
rnacentral:rRNA from 1 species